UACAGAGGGGGCGAGCGUUGUUCGGAAUUACUGGGCGUAAAGGGCGCGUAGGCGGCCUCUUAAGUCGACCGUGAAAUCCCCGGGCUCAACCCGAGAACUGCGUCCGAUACUGGGGGGCUUGAAUCCGGGAGAGGGAUGUGGAAUUCCAGGUGUAGCGGUGAAAUGCGUAGAUAUCUGGAGGAACACCGGUGGCGAAGGCGGCAUCCUGGACCGGUAUUGACGCUGAGGCGCGAAAGCCAGGGGAGCAAACGGG
rnacentral:rRNA from 1 species